GACAGCACAAUAAACACUUGCUUGUGGUGCCUUUUCGCUGCAGUAGGGAGGAGAGCGAGACAACGUGCGCCUGUCACACAGGCACUCGCUGUCAUUUCUUUUAAUACAGUGUCACCAUCGGGCUCUUUCUUGAGUCGUUUGUGUGUCUUAAUUAUUUAAUCAAACAGUGUGCUUAAAGCAUCAGACAAGCUCAGUGCCUAUGUAGGUGAUUGUAUUCAAACACAUAGGGUGUGUCUGAUAUGGAAAAAUAUAUUUUAACAUUACAACAGGAUGACUCUCGGUCGACAAAGAUUGUUUGUUGUCGGGGACAGCCCUACAACCAGUCUUACCCUUGCUCUACUCAAAGGGCUGUAUUGGAAUGGCUUCAUACAGUAUCUACGUGUUAAUCAUUGACUAAAUUGUCUUAUUAGACCAAGAGGACAAAGAGAAACAAAGUGGAGCAGAUCACUGAUACAGAUGCAGGUCCCUCUACAUCUGUGGAAUUCUCUGAGAUGGCAGUUCAGGGGACAUCUCACCAGGGACAAUCUAAUGAAAAGAUCCUAAGUGAGUGUGUCUCCGGGGCCUGUCAGACCAGGGCUCUUGACCUCCCGCCAAUCAAUCUGGAUGCUUUCAACCCGAUUAUCAUCCGGUUUCUGGAAAAACUUACUGAGGAGUAUGUCCAAACUUCUAUUGUAGUAUUUGAAUGCAAUGUCACCUGGAGGAUUUUAUAAAUUGUAUGUGUGUUGGUGUGCUUUUUGGUGCUAAAAACAUCUAAUUAUCUCCUAUAGGCAAUGGAGGCAGUAAAGCAUUGUCAGGAUGGACCCUGUAAGUCCCUUAACCUUGAAAAUGAUUCAUAAAUAUAUGAAUAGAUGUUUCAAGUAUAUUAGAUACAAGCCUUUUAUCUAUCUACAGUAUCAUCCACACUAUCACAAACAGUUACAUUCAAAGAGCUUUUUAGUAGCCUACUGCUUUUCAUGAUUUCCAAUGUAUGCCACUUUCAUGAUUCUCAUGAACAUAUGUAAGAUGGUUGGUAUCUCUUCGAGGAGCUUGGUUUCAGAGCCCGGCUAUGAGUAAUCUACCUACACUGUUUCGGUCCUACAUGUGAUGAGGGCACUGCUUGCAGAGAUGUGCCUGGAGAUUGUGCGGUUUGUAUCUGAGGCCAUCCUGAAGGUCAUCAUCCCUGCAAUUUUCCGUUUUGUACGGACAUACAGCCAUGUGUCUCCAGUAUCCGGCAAGUCUCUGACAGAAUCAGAGAGAUCCUCUAGCACAAACCUGAAGGUUCGCAAGAGAGGCAGCAGCAAAUCCUCAAGGUCUUGCACGGCAAAAUCAAGCUCCUCUCGUAAUGGGUAUCUUCAGUCAUUCCUAAAGAAACCGGUUUCACCUAACUAUUCAUAACCCAUUUUGUGAAAAUAUGUUUUGUUAUCUGUGUAAGAGUUUACCCUUAAUGACCAAUUUAAUUGAUUACUGAAUUAUGUAUUAAUGUGACUACAGUAUCGACUUUCGAAUAUGGAAUGCUGUAUUGUUUGCUUUGUAUUCUCAAAGGUCUCAGACAGUGUUGCCAAAUACUCAGGGAGAUGGUGAGUCUAAAUCAUCUGAGCCACUCUGGGACUUUUUUGGGAUCACUGAGGACAGUCUCCUCACUGGUGUCCAGGAUUCCUUCAAAGAGUCGCUGAACAAUGUCCUCUGUA